GAUUGCAUCUUCAGCUAGCUCCUUCGAGCGCUGCAAAUCUUCACCUACUAAUACAUAUAAGUCUUGAUAUGGAUUCCGUGCUACUCGUAUAACCAUGUAGGCCCAUAAACUCAAAAGUAACACACUAAAGAUGGGAAAAGAAUCCAAACAAGUUGCACAAUUGCCAGAGAGCCCCUCAGGAGAUGACUGAAACUAUUAAUUUUUUACUAACUAAAAUGAACUUCAUGAAAGUAUCUUCAGCUCAUCAAAUGCUUGGAGUAGCAA
rnacentral:misc_RNA from 1 species